rnacentral:rRNA from 1 species
CAUGCAAGUCGAACGGGAAAGCCCCCUUCGGGGGGUGAGUAUAGUGGCGAACGGGUGAGUAACGCGUGGGAAACCUGCCCUUCAGUGGGGGAUAACAGGCCUAACGGCCUGCUAAUACCGCAUGUGUCCCCGGGAUCGCAUGGUCCCGGGAAGAAAAGUGGCCUCUCCUUGGAAGCUACUGCUGAAGGAUGGUCCCGCGUCCCAUUAGCUUGUUGGCGGGGUAAUGGCCCACCAAGGCUCCGAUGGGUAGCCGGCCUGAGAGGGUGUCCGGCCACACUGGGACUGAGAUACGGCCCAGACUCCUACGGGAGGCAGCAGUCGAGAAGCUUCGGCAAUGGGCGAAAGCCUGACCGAGCGACGCCGCGUGAGCGAAGAAGGCCCUAUGGAUUGUAAAGCUCUGUCAGAUUGGGAAGAAAACUUCACGGUUAAUACCCGCGAAGCUUGACGGUACCGUCAGAGGAAGCACCGGCUAACUCCGUGCCAGCAGCCGCGGUAAUACGGAGGGUGCAAGCGUUGUUCGGAUUCACUGGGUAUAAAGGGUGUGCAGGCGGCCUGAUAAGUCAGGGGUGAAAUAUGACGGCUCAACCGUCAAACUGCCCCUGAAACUGUCAGGCUUGAGUCCGGGAGGGGAAGGUGGAAUUCCUGGUGUAGCGGUGAAAUGCGUAAAUAUCAGGAGGAACACCAGUGGCGAAGGCGGCCUUCUGGCCCGGAACUGACGCUCAGACACGAAAGCUAGGGGAGCGAACAGGAUUAGAUACCCUGGUAGUCCUAGCCGUAAACGAUGGGCACUAGGUGUUGGGGGAGUCUACCCCCUCAGUGCCGCAGCUAAUGCAUUAAGUGCCCCACCUGGGGAGUACGA